CACCGCUUCUAGGGUGGUGGUGCCGUGGUGUUCGGGAAGACCGGUUCAAGUCCGGAGCGGCCCUCGCCACUGUGAUCGGGAAGUCCUCGCACCGUUCCCGUGACCCGUCAGGGUCCGGGGGUCACUGGGCGCAGCCAGCGCCUGGGAAGGCCACGUGCGUGGACGCUUCACCCGUCAGCCAGGAGACCGGCCACGGCACGCACGAGAAC
rnacentral:ncRNA from 1 species